GUAGGGAAUCUUCGGCAAUGGACGCAAGUCUGACCGAGCAACGCCGCGUGAGUGAAGAAGGUUUUCGGAUCGUAAAACUCUGUUGUAAGAGAAGAACGUUGAUGAGAGUGGAAAGUUCAUCAAGUGACGGUAUCUUACCAGAAAGCCACGGCUAACUACGUGCCAGCAGCCGCGGUAAUACGUAGGUGGCAAGCGUUGUCCGGAUUUAUUGGGCGUAAAGCGAGCGCAGGCGGUUGAUUAAGUCUGAUGUGAAAGCCCCCGGCUCAACCGGGGAGGGUCAUUGGAAACUGGUCAACUUGAGUGCAGAAGAGGAGAGUGGAAUUCCAUGUGUAGCGGUGAAAUGCGUAGAUAUAUGGAGGAACACCAGUGGCGAAGGCGGCUCUCUGGUCUGUAACUGACGCUGAGGCUCGAAAGCGUGGGGAGCGAACAGGAUUAGAUACCCUAGUAGUCC
rnacentral:rRNA from 1 species